CAGACUGCCUGCCACGCAAUGCCGGCCCACCCUCCCGUACCGGACCCCUGCGAAGCGCGGGCAGCAGGAGUGUACAAAGAAUUUUACUAAACAGGAAGGAGCAGAUGGGCGAGCGAGCAGGACGUCCCUUCACUCCGCGCGAGAAAACUGUUGCUUGGAGAGGUGGCUACUUGCCUAGGAUCACCCAAUGACAAUUAGCACGUGUAUGGAACUUGCUGUGUGCCUACAACAACCAGAUGAAGUAGUUAACUCCAUUUUACAGGAGGGAAGAACCAAGGCUCAGCAUUAAGUUCGCCGACGCCCUGCCGUGGGGUUCCUGGGCGCACAGCCAUUCAGCCGACCACCCAGCAUGCACUGGACCCCAGCUAUGUCCUAGGAGAAGGCACUUCUGCCCUGCCUCUCAGCAGCCCACAGCCCAGUGAGAGACAUGCACACAUACGCUGAUGAGACAUAAUAGAGCCCAGUACCUCCUGAUACAAGAUCUCCAUUCAAAUGUCACCUCCUCUGAGAGGCCUUCCCUGACUACUCAAGGUAGCUCUCUGCCCCUUUCUAUCACAUCCCCCAGGUUUGCUUUUUUCAUACCACUUUUCACCAUCAGAAAUGCUCUUGUUUAUUUCUUGUUCAUUUAUUGUCUAACCCUCUCCAUGAGACUGUAAACUUGAAAGAAGGUAAACUCUGAAUGAGCUGGGUGUGGGGUGAGGGUAGGGAGGAGUAGGGGAAAUAGGUGAAGGGAAUUAAGAGGUAAAAACCUUCAGUUAUGGAAUAAAUAAGUCACAGGGAUGUAAUAGAUAGCAUAAAGAAUUUGGUCAGUAGGGAAUAUAGCCAGUAUUUUGUAAUAACUUUAAAAUGUUGAAUCAGUAUGUUGUACAUCUGAAACUAAUAUAAUAUUGUAAAUUAACUAUACUUUAAUAAAAAAAGAACAUGGUCAAUAAUAUUGUAAUAACUUUGUAUGUGGACAGAUGGUUCCUAGACUUAUCGUGGUGAUCAUUCCGUGACAUAUGCAAAUGUCAAUCACUAUGUAGCACACCAGAAACUAACAUAAUAUUGUACGUCAACUAUAUCUCAGUUAAAAAAAAGAAAUCAU